UACGGGGGGGGCAAGCGUUGUUCGGAAUUACUGGGCGUAAAGGGCUCGUAGGCGGCCAACUAAGUCGGACGUGAAAUCCCCAGGCUCAACCUGGGAACUGCGUCCGAUACUGGAUGGCUUGAAUCCGGGAGAGGGAUGCAGAAUUCCAGGUGUAGCGGUGAAAUGCGUAGAUAUCGGGAGGAACACCAGAGGCGAAGGCGGCCACCUGGACAGAGAUUGACGCUGAGACGCGAAAGCGUGGGGAGCAAACAGG
rnacentral:rRNA from 1 species